GACGAACGCUGGCGGCGUGCUUAACACAUGCAAGUCGAACGGAAAGGCCCUGCUUUUGUGGGGUGCUCGAGUGGCGAACGGGUGAGUAACACGUGAGUAACCUGCCCUUGACUUUGGGAUAACUUCAGGAAACUGGGGCUAAUACCGGAUAGGAGCUCCUGCUGCAUGGUGGGGGAUGGAAAGUUUCGGCGGUUGGGGAUGGACUCGCGGCUUAUCAGCUUGUUGGUGGGGUAGUGGCUUACCAAGGCUUUGACGGGUAGCCGGCCUGAGAGGGUGACCGGCCACAUUGGGACUGAGAUACGGCGCAGACUCCUACGGGCGGCAGCAGUGGGGAAUAUUGCACAAUGGGCGGAAGCCUGAUGCAGCAACGCCGCGUGCGGGAUGACGGCCUUCGGGUUGUAAACCGCUUUCGCCUGUGACGAAGCGUGAGUGACGGUAAUGGGUAAAGAAGCACCGGCUAACUACGUG
rnacentral:rRNA from 1 species